AUGAAUUUCCGGCGCCGACAGAGAUGGCCGCCUCGCUUCGCGUUCCUAGGAAACUAUGCAGUUUUUUGUUUUUUUUACGUGUUAUUUCUUACAUUAGUACCCCAGGUCAUCUUAGGUUUCAUUACAUACAGUCGAGAAGAUCAGCGUCAACUCACCAUCAGUACGACCAAGAAUAUGUUUUUCGCGACGCGGAUCCUGUGUUCUGCCUUACAAAUAGGACAACGGAGUGGAUCCCAUGCAGCGACCCAAAAAAAACGACUCCGAAAAAGAGGGAAAGGAGACGGUCUUCUGGUCAGACUCCGGAGACGGGCACACCGUGCACCACUCCCUAGCAUUCUUCUUGCCAAUGUCCAGUCUCUUGACAACAAGGUUGAUGAAAUCCGAGCAAGGGUAGCAUUCCAGAGGGACAUCAGAGACUGUAACGUUCUUUGCUUCACGGAAACGUGGCUCACUGGAGAGACGCUAUCCGAGGCGGUGCAGCCAACGGGUUUCUCCACGCAUCGCGCCGACAGAAACAAACAUCUUUCUGGUAAGAAGAGGGGCGGGGGCGUAUGCCUUAUGGCUAACGUGACAUGGUGUGAUGAAAGAAACAUACAGGAACUCAAAUCCUUCUGUUCACCUGAUUUAGAAUUCCUCACAAUCAAAUGUAGACCGCAUUAUCUACCAAGAGAAUUCUCUUCGAUUAUAAUCACAGCCGUAUAUAUCCCCCCCCAAGCAGACACAUCGAUGGCUCUGAACGAACUUUAUUUAACUCUUUGCAAACUGGAAACCAUUUAUCCGGAGGCUGCAUUCAUUGUAGCUGGGGAUUUUAACAAGGCUAAUCUGAAAACAAGACUCCCUAAAUUUUAUCAGCAUAUCGAUUGCGCAACCAGGGGUGGAAAGACCUUGGAUCAUUGUUACUCUAACUUCCGCAACGCAUAUAAGGCCCUGCCCCGCCCCCCUUUCGGAAAAGCUGACCACGACUCUAUUUUGUUGAUCCCUGCCUACAGACAGAAACUAAAACAAGAGGCUCCCACGCUGAAGUCUGUCCAACGCUGGUCCGACCAAGCUGACUCCACACUCCAAGACUGCUUCCAUCACGUAGACUGGGAUAUGUUUCGUAUUGCGUCAGAUAACAAUAUUGACGAAUACGCUGAUUCGGUGUGCGAUUUCAUUAGAACGUGCGUUGAAGAUGUCGUUCCCAUAGCAACGAUUAAAACAUUCCCUAACCAGAAACCGUGGAUUGAUGGCAGCAUUCGCGUGAAACUGAAAGCGCGAACCACUGCUUUUAAUCAGGGCAAGGUGUCUGGUAAAAUUACCGAAUACAAACAGUGCAGCUAUUCCCUCCGCAAGGCUAUCAAACAAGCUAAGCGUCAGUACAGAGACAAAGUAGAAUCUCAAUUCAACGGCUCAGACGCAAGAGGCAUGUGGCAGGGUCUACAGUCAAUCACAGACUACAGGAAGAAAUCCAGCCCAGUCACGGACCAGGAUGUCUUGCUCCCAGGCAGACUAAAUAACUUUUUUGCCCGCUUUGAGGACAAUACAGUGCCACUGACACGGCCUGCAACGAAAACAUGCGGUCUCUCCUUCACUGCAGCCGAGGUGAGUAAGACAUUUAAACGUGUUAACCCUCGCAAGGCUGCAGGCCCAGACGGCAUCCCCAGCCGCGCCCUCAGAGCAUGCGCAGACCAGCUGGCCGGUGUGUUUACGAACAUAUUCAAUCAAUCCCUAUACCAGUCUGCUGUUCCCACAUGCUUCAAGAGGGCCACCAUUCAAGAGGGCCACCAUUGUUCCUGUUCCCAAGAAAGCUAA
rnacentral:lncRNA from 1 species